rnacentral:rRNA from 1 species
AUGCCUCAGUAGCGGCGAGUGAAGCGGCAAAAGCUCAAAUUUGAAAUCUGGCGUCUUUGGCGUCCGAGUUGUAAUUUGAAGAAGGUAUCUUUGGGCCCGGCUCUUGUCUAUGUUCCUUGGAACAGGACGUCACAGAGGGUGAGAAUCCCGUGCGAUGAGAUGACCCGGGUCUGUGUAAAGUUCCUUCGACGAGUCGAGUUGUUUGGGAAUGCAGCUCUAAGUGGGUGGUAAAUUCCAUCUAAAGCUAAAUAUUGGCGAGAGACCGAUAGCGAACAAGUACAGUGAUGGAAAGAUGAAAAGAACUUUGAAAAGAGAGUGAAAAAGUACGUGAAAUUGUUGAAAGGGAAGG